GUUCCUGUAGUUGAGUACAACAUUAGCUUUUCGAGCUUGAGGUCCAGGUCAAGGUCUUGGCAGGAAUA
rnacentral:tRNA from 1 species